rnacentral:rRNA from 1 species
UACGGAGGGGGCUAGCGUUGUUCGGAAUUACUGGGCGUAAAGCGCACGUAGGCGGCUUUGCAAGUUAGAGGUGAAAGCCCAGGGCUUAACCCUGGAAUUGCCUUUAAGACUGCAUCGCUAGAAUCGUGGAGAGGUGAGUGGAAUUCCGAGUGUAGAGGUGAAAUUCGUAGAUAUUCGGAAGAACACCAGUGGCGAAGGCGACUCACUGGACACGUAUUGACGCUGAGGUGCGAAAGCGUGGGGAGCAA